ACUUGCAUGAUCUUGCCGUUUGCACGGUCUGUGGAUGAAUGGUGAUCCUGAGAGCUGUUCUCUGCAGCAGCUUUGCUCAUGGAGCGCUUGUGAGCAGCAAACAGAAUCAUCAUCUUCAUCACCAUCAGCAGGAGCAGCGACUUUACCAAUGAUUGAUCAGUUGUUAUGUGCCAGGCUCUUUGCUAAGUGCUUUACAUUUUAUCUUCCCCUCCACCCUAUAUCAGCUUCCUGAGGCCUCACCAGAAGCUGAGAAGAUACUGGCACCAUGCUUCCUGUACAGCCUGCAGAACCAUGAGCCAAUUAAACCUCUUUUGCUUAUAAAUUACCCCACCUCAGAAUCUGGCCACUAUGCUGUGAGAAGCCUACCCCACAUGGAAAUACACACAGAGGAAAAUGGAGGCAGUGGCCAAACACAUAAGCCGAGCUCCUAGUCAACAGCCAGUGCUGAUUGCCAGCCAUGUGAAUGAACCACUAGGGCCUUCUAGCCCAGUCAAGCCUUCAGAUGACUGCAGCCCCCGAUGUCACCAUACGGAGCAGGUGAACCACUCAACUGAACAUUGCCAAGCCACAGAACCAUGAAAGAUAGUACAUGGUGGGUUUUAUUUUCAGUGGCUAUAUUUUGGGAUAGUUUGUCACAUAGAAAUAGAGAACUGAAACAUGAAGAUUUAUUUGAUUCAUUUAAAUAAAUAUCUAGUAAUUUGCUGA